GCCUCUGUAGUUUAGCUUGGAUACCUUCGAAUGCCAAAGGUAUUCGAGUCUCGAAUAACACUUUAUUCGAAGAGAAUGUAAGGUUGCGGACCUUAUGACCCGGGUUCAAAUCCCGGCGGGGGCA
rnacentral:tRNA from 1 species